AGCUCUGGUAGCCUAAUAGGUAGAGUGUCCACCUCAGAUGCGGGAAGUCAUGGGUUUGAUCCCCGGUUGAGUCA